rnacentral:rRNA from 1 species
AGACGGAGGGCGCAAGCGUUGUUCGGAAUUACUGGGCGUAAAGCGCGGGCAGGCGGUCUGUUAAGUCUUCUGUGAAAACCCGGGGCUUAACCCCGUGGAAUGCAGAGGAUACUGGCAGACUGGAGACCGGUAGAGGCUAGCGGAAUUCCUGGUGUAGCGGUGGAAUGCGUAGAUAUCAGGAAGAACACCUGUGGCGAAGGCGGCUAGCUGGGCUGGGUCUGACGCUCAUCCGCGAAAGCGUGGGGAGCAAACAGGAUUAGAAACCCUAGUAGUCC